rnacentral:rRNA from 1 species
GUAGGUGGCAAGCGUUGUCCGGAAUUAUUGGGCGUAAAGCGCGCGCAGGGCGGUCCUUUAAGUCGGAUGUGAAAGCCCACGGGCUCAACCGUGGAGGGUCAUUGGAAACUGGGGGACUUGAGUACAGAAGAGGAAAGCGGAAUUCCAAGUGUAGCGGUGAAAUGCGUAGAGAUUUGGAGGAACACCAGUGGCGAAGGCGGCUUUCUGGUCUGUAACUGACGCUGAGGCGCGAAAGCGUGGGGAGCACACAGGAUUAGAUACCCUGGUAGUCCACGCCGUAAACGAUGAGUGCUAAGUGUUAGGGGGUUUCCGCCCCUUAGUGCUGCAGCUAACGCAUUAAGCACUCCGCCUGGGGAGUACGGCCGCAAGGCUG